GACGAACGCUGGCGGCGUGCCUAACACAUGCAAGUCGAGCGGUAAGGCCCUUUCGGGGGUACGACGAGCGGCGAACGGGUGAGUAACACGUGGGUGACCUGCCCUCAGCUCUGGGAUAAGCCUGGGAAACCGGGUCUAAUACCGGAUAUGACUCCAUGACGCAUGUUGUGGGGUGGAAAGCCUUGUGCGGCUGAGGAUGGGCCCGCGGCCUAUCAGCUUGUUGGUGGGGUGAUGGCCUACCAAGGCGACGACGGGUAGCCGGCCUGAGAGGGCGACCGGCCACACUGGGACUGAGACACGGCCCAGACUCCUACGGGAGGCAGCAGGUGGGGAAUCUUGCGCAAUGGGCGAAAGCCUGACGCAGCGACG
rnacentral:rRNA from 1 species